CUUGACCUCAAAUCAGGUAGGACUACCCGCUGAACUUAAGCAUAUCAAUAAGCGGAGGAAAAGAAACUAACAAGGAUUCCCCUAGUAACUGCGAGUGAAGCGGGAAAAGCUCAAAUUUAAAAUCUGGCGGUCUUCGGCCGUCCGAGUUGUAAUUUAGAGAA
rnacentral:rRNA from 1 species